rnacentral:rRNA from 1 species
GAUGAACGCUGGCGGCGUGCUUAACACAUGCAAGUCGAACGGAAAGGCUCCUGCUUGCAGGGGUACUCGAGUGGCGAACGGGUGAGUAACACGUGGGUGAUCUGCCCUGCACUUCGGGAUAAGCCUGGGAAACUGGGUCUAAUACCGGAUAGGACGAUGGGUUGGAUGCCAUUGUGGAAAGUUUUUUCGGUGUGGGAUGAGCUCGCGGCCUAUCAGCGUGUUGGUGGGGUAAUGGCCUACCAAGGCGUCGACGGGUAGCCGGCCUGAGAGGGUGUACGGCCACAUUGGGACUGAGAUACGGCCCAGACUCCUACGGGAGGCAGCAGUGGGGAAUAUUGCACAAUGGGCGCAAGCCUGAUGCAGCGACGCCGCGUGGGGGAUGACGGCCUUCGGGUUGUAAACUCCUUUCGCUAGGGACGAAGCGCAAGUGACGGUACCUGGAGAAGAAGCACCGGCUAACUACGUG